rnacentral:rRNA from 1 species
AUAGGUGGGAGGCUUUGAAGCUGGAACGCUAGUUCCAGUGGAGCCGUCCUUGAAAUACCACCCUGGUAAUGUUGAGGUUCUAACUCUGUCCCGUGAUCCGGGACGAGGACCGUGUCUGGUGGGUAGUUUGACUGGGGCGGUCUCCUCCUAAAGAGUAACGGAGGAGUACGAAGGUGCGCUCAGCGUGGUCGGAAAUCACGCGUAGAGUAUAAAGGCAAAAGCGC